UUCCCCACCCCCACCCCCGGCCCGGGGCGGGAAAACCCAGCCGGACAAGGACACGCCCAGCCUUAGAAGGGUCAGGGCCGGGCCGGAGGGAGCGACGUCGCAGUAAACACGGACUUGGAGGGAGGAGGGAGGCGCAUUCCGCGGCGCAGGCAAAGACCUGAUCCCGAUGGGGCUUCUCGGCUUGCCUCGCGGCUGCGCUGCCCAAAACCUGUCUCACGUCGGUCCCCGCAGCCUGGCCCCGCCUCUGGCGGAGAUCUGGGAGAGAAAGGUGUGAACACAGAGUAAACACUCAGCCGACAGCCCAGGAGCUGAUGAAGGAUAAACACAAUGUAUCCAGUCAUAUGGGGUAUUAUUCAGCCAAAGAGAAGAAUGAAGCACCGAUACACACUGCAACAUAUGAACCUUAAAAAUCCUAUGUUGAGUGAAAGAAGCCAGAUGCGAAAGGCCCCAUAGGAUAUGAUUCCGUUUAUGUGAAAUGUCCAAAACAGGUCUUAGAUGUGGCAUGCGGGAUCUUUGGUUGAAGCAAGUGGGAUCUAGUCCCUCCUGACCAGGGAUGGAACCCUGGCCCCCUGCACUUCGAGCACAGAGUCUUCACUGGACCACCGGGGAAGUCCCUGAAUUGCUCACUUUAAAAAGGUUGAUUUUAUGUUACUGAAUGUUACUUCAAUUGUUUUUAAAGCACUUUAGGUAAAAACUG